GCCGGGAUAGCUCAGUUGGCCAGAGCGUUCGCCUUGUAAGCGAAGGGUCGCCGGUUCGAAUCCGGCUCCCGGCU
rnacentral:tRNA from 1 species